rnacentral:tRNA from 1 species
GCGGCACGGGCCGCGGGGGCCUGGGGGGCCUCGGGGGCCGCCUGCGCGGAACCCGGCGCGCCGGUCGCGCCGGUCGCGCCGCCC